UAUGGCGACCGGCGCACGGGUGAGUGACACGUAUCCAACCUGCCGAUGACUCGGGGAUAGCCUUUCGAAAGAAAGAUUAAUACCCGAUGGCAUAGUUCUUCCGCAUGGUAGAACUAUUAAAGAAUUUCGGUCAUCGAUGGGGAUGCGUUCCAUUAGGUUGUUGGCGGGGUAACGGCCCACCAAGCCUUCGAUGGAUAGGGGUUCUGAGAGGAAGGUCCCCCACAUUGGAACUGAGACACGGUCCAAACUCCUACGGGAGGCAGCAUG
rnacentral:rRNA from 1 species